rnacentral:rRNA from 1 species
AGAACGAACGCUGGCGGCAUGCCUAACACAUGCAAGUCGAACGCUUGUAGCAAUACAAGAGUGGCGCACGGGUGAGUAACGCGUGGGAACCUGCCCUGGAGUGGGGGAUAACCGAGGGAAACUUCGGCUAAUACCGCAUACGACCUGAGGGUGAAAGAUUUAUCGCUCUAGGAGGGGCCCGCGUCGGAUUAGCUAGUUGGUGGGGUAACGGCCUACCAAGGCUACGAUCCGUAGCUGGUCUGAGAGGAUGGCCAGCCACACUGGGACUGAGACACGGCCCAGACUCCUACGGGAGGCAGCAGUGGGGAAUAUUGGACAAUGGGGGCAACCCUGAUCCAGCGACGCCGCGUGUGUGAAGAAGGCCUGCGGGUUGUAAAGCACUUUUAGUGGGGAUGAAAAGUUCAGGGCUAAUACCCCUGGGCAUUGACCUAACCCACAGAAAAGCACCGGCUAACUCUGCGCCAGCAGCCGC